rnacentral:lncRNA from 1 species
CAGGAAGUACCGAUCUGUGUGUUGCAAUGAACAUUACCUGAAUCUGGAUAAUUUUGGAUAAAUAUUGGAGGCAAAUGUUGAAUGCAGCAAAACCCGACUAACUUUGUCGACUAACCCGACUAAGCUGUCGGCAUUCGCGGAGCAAUCGGGUGGACAGUCAAGUUUCCACGGCACUUACUGCAGUGAUAUCGGGUGCAGGAGUGAUAUCGGGUGACCUGAUAUGCUGUCAAAUUUCUGCUUAUUGCACCACACGAGGAUUGUUAAUAAAGGGGAGUCAGCCAGUGCAUCUAGCCAAC